AGAAGCUAUCGGUUAGAGUGCUGAUUAAAAUUGACUACCAGAAACGACUUAAUAUUGGGAAUUUUUUCAUCGGAUAGUAUUAUGUAAGGAAGUGGAAAUAAUAAGAGUUUUUAAGUUGAAUAUCUAGGAACUUCCAUUAAAUUGAAGAAUGACAAAAAGGAAUAUAGAGCCAUUAGAUUAUCAAAUGGUUUACCAGCUUUGCUAAUAUUCGAUUCAAAGACAUGCUUUUCUCAACAUCAAGAUAUGAAAAAUGAAAUGAAGGCAGCACGUUGCUUAUGUGUGACAACAGAAAUGUUCUGAGCCAGCAAAAUUUCCAGAAUUUCAGACAGCCUUAAAUUUUGCCAACGAGAACAGAGUUCAGCAACCACAAUGUUUUUCCUUUACGCGAACUGAUCAUCCAAUCAACAAGAUUACUGAGGAUCGAGGAUUAUAAAACAGCACGAAAAUUUGGAUUACACGAAAUUACAUGAAAAGCUACACAAAUUCAAAGAGCCAUUAUAAUAUUCGC